rnacentral:rRNA from 1 species
AAGUCGGUAACAAGGUCUCCGUUGGUGAACCAGCGAAAGGGAUCAUUACAGAGUUCUAAAAGACUCCCAAAACCAUUGUGAACGGUACCNGUCAGCGUUGCCUCGGCGGGCGGCCCCUCCCUGGGGCCGCUGCCUCCCCCGGGGGGUGCCCGCCGGCGUACCAAAACUCUUCUGUAUUUUAGUGGCCUCUCUGAGAAAACAAGCAAAUAAGUUAAAACUUUCAACAACGGAUCUCUUGGUUCUGGCAUCGAUGAAGAACGCAGCGAAAUGCGAUAAGUAAUGUGGAUUGCAGAAUUCAGUGAAUCAUCGAAUCUUUGAACGCACAUUGCGCCCGCCAGUACUCUGGCGGGCAUGCCUGUUCGAGCAUCAUUUCAACCCUCAAGCCCUGNUUGGUGUUGGGGCCCUACGGCUGCCGUAGGCCCUGAAAGCUAGUGGCGGGCUCGCUAUAACUCCGAGCGUAGUAGUAAAAUAUCUCGCUAGGGAGGUGUCNCGGGUUCCGGCCGUGAAAGCCCAUCUUUUACACAAGGUUGACCUCGGAUCAGGUAGGAAUACCUGCUGAACUUAA